rnacentral:lncRNA from 1 species
GGUGGGCGAUUUUGCUUUCGACGUGUGAUUGGAAAAGAACGAUCUCUUCUUUGGUGAGAGUUCAGCCUUGGCACUGAGUAGUUUUGGAGGAGUUUUAUAUAGAUCUAGGUGAUUCUCUGCUAUUCCUCCAUCCUCCAGUAACCUUUGUCGAUCCAUCUUAAAUCUCAAAAAAGUUUGAGAUGAUUGGAGAAGAAGAUCCAAUCAAAUCAGCCAUCAGAAGUGAUUUUCAUAAGCUAGACUUCCGAAAGACAGCAGAUCGAAACCAGGACUUCGUGUGGACAUUUCGUAGAGGCCGAACAUGCUGUGCGACUAUGAGCAACCAACGAAGACCUCUAGAUCCAUGUUCAUGAUCAUGACGUUCGACUAUCCACACUCAGGUAUUGGGUUCGGAUCCUUGGUUAUAGUAGAUCAGAUCUACUACUUUACUUAUUUUCAUGCAC